rnacentral:rRNA from 1 species
GACGAACGCUGGCGGCGUGCCUAAUACAUGCAAGUCGAGCGCAGGAAGCCGUCUGAACCCUUCGGGGGGACGACGGUGGAAUGAGCGGCGGACGGGUGAGUAACACGUAAAGAACCUACCCAUAGGUCUGGGAUAACCACGAGAAAUCGGGGCUAAUACCGGAUGUGUCAUCGGACCGCACGGUCCGCUGAUGAAAGGCGCUCCGGCGUCGCCCAUGGAUGGCUUUGCGGUGCAUUAGCUAGUUGGUGGGGUAACGGCCCACCAAGGCGACGAUGCAUAGCCGACCUGAGAGGGUGAUCGGCCACACUGGGACUGAGACACGGCCCAGACUCCUACGGGAGGCAGCAGUAGGGAAUCUUCCACAAUGGACGAAAGUCUGAUGGAGCAACGCCGCGUGAACGAUGAAGGCUUUCGGGUCGUAAAGUUCUGUUGUAAGGGAAGAACAAGUGCCGCAGGCAAUGGCGGCACCUUGACGGUACCUUGCGAGAAAGCCACGGCUAACUACGUGCCAGCCGCCGCGGUAA